UGAGUGCACGGAGUCUGAAAUGGAAA
rnacentral:piRNA from 1 species